rnacentral:rRNA from 1 species
AGAGUUUGAUCAUGGCUCAGAUUGAACGCUGGCGGCAUGCUUUACACAUGCAAGUCGAGCGGCAGCGCGGGGGCAACCCUGGCGGCGAGCGGCGAACGGGUGAGUAAUGCAUCGGAACGUGUCCCGUAGUGGGGGAUAACCCGGCGAAAGCCGGACUAAUACCGCAUAUGCUCUACGGAGGAAAGCGGGGGAUUCGCAAGAACCUCGCGCUAUGGGAGCGGCCGAUGUCCGAUUAGCUUGUUGGUGGGGUAAUGGCUUACCAAGGCGACGAUCGGUAGCUGGUCUGAGAGGAUGAUCAGCCACACUGGGACUGAGACACGGCCCAGACUCCUACGGGAGGCAGCAGUGGGGAAUUUUGGACAAUGGGGGCAACCCUGAUCCAGCCAUGCCGCGUGCGGGAAGAAGGCCUUCGGGUUGUAAACCGCUUUUGUCCGGAAAGAAAAGGCACCUCCUAAUACGGGGUGCUCUUGACGGUACCGGAAGAAUAAGCACCGGCUAACUGCGUGCCAGCCGCCGCGGUAAUUC